GGGUCUGUGGUCUAGGGGUAUGACACUCCCUUAGCAACAUCAACAGCUCUCCUUCUCAGAGAGCUUCAGAUCGCGCAAACCAUAAAUGGGAGAGGUCCCGAGUUCAAUUCUCGGCGGAUCCA